AACGAACGCUGGCGGCAUGCCUAACACAUGCAAGUCGAACGAGACCUUCGGGUCUAGUGGCGCACGGGUGCGUAACGCGUGGGAACCUGCCCUUAGGUUCGGAAUAACUCCCCGAAAGGGGUGCUAAUACCGGAUAAUGUCUUCGGACCAAAGAUUUGUCGCCUUUGGAUGGGCCCGCGUUGGAUUAGCUUGUUGGUAGGGUAAAAGCCUACCAAGGCGACGAUCCAUAGCUGGUCUGAGAGGAUGAUCAGCCACACUGGGACUGAGACACGGCCCAGACUCCUACGGGAGGCAGCAGUGGGGAAUAUUGGACAAUGGGCGAAAGCCUGAUCCAGCAAUGCCGCGUGAGUGAUGAAGGCCUUAGGGUUGUAAAGCUCUUUUACCCGGGAUGAUAAUGACAGUACCGGGAGAAUAAGCUCCGGCUAACUCCGUG
rnacentral:rRNA from 1 species